rnacentral:rRNA from 1 species
CUCUGGAUAACUUCACGCCGAUCGCACGGCCUUCGCGCCGGCGACGUAUCUUUCAAAUGUCUGCCUUAUCAACUGUCGAUGGUAGGUUACGCGCCUACCAUGGUUGCAACGGGUAACGGGGAAUCGGGGUUCGAUUCCGGAGAGGGAGCCUGAGAAACGGCUACCACAUCCAAGGAAGGCAGCAGGCGCGCAAAUUACCCACUCCCGGCACGGGGAGGUAGUGACGAAAAAUAACGAUACGGGACUCUUCCGAGGCCCCGUGAUUGGAAUGAGUACACUUUAAAUCCUUUAACGAGGAACCAUUGGAGGGCAAGUCUGGUGCCAGCAGCCGCGGUAACUCCAGCUCCAAUAGCGUAUAUUAAAGUUGUUGCGGUUAAAAAGCUCGUAGUCGGAUGUCUGUCUUCGGCCGGGCGGCGCCGCUCUGAAUCAAGGGUGUUGCGUUUCACGCUCUGGGAGCCCGGGUGUCAAAGCCCGACUCUCUUCACGGUCGGACAACAUCGCCGGAGUGGUGGUCGGUGCGUCGUUGUUGUAUCUGCGGCCAGAGUUGGAAAGUUCUUUCGGGUUCUUUUUUAAUUUUGGUCGUAGUUGACUCGAUUCGCUCCACCCAGUCAAUCGUUCGGGGUGCCCUUCACCGGGUGUCUCGGGCGGNCGGCAACGUUUACUUUGAACAAAUUAGAGUGCUCAAAGCAGGUGUAUCCCAACGCCUGAAUAUCGCAGCAUGGAAUGAUGGAAUAGGACCUCGGUCCGAUUUUGCUGGUCUUUUACUUUUGGACCCGAGGUAAUGGUCAAUAGAGACGGACGGGGGCAUUCGUACUGCGGCGACAGAGGUGAAAUUCUUGGACCGCCGCAAGACGAACAACAGCGAAGGCAUUUGCCAAGAAUGUUUUCCUUGAUCAAGAACGAAAGUUAGAGGUUCGAAGGCGAUCAGAUACCGCCCUAGUUCUAACCAUAAACGAUGCCAACCAGCAAUCCGUCGGAGUUACUCCAAUGACUCGACGGGCAGCUUCCGGGAAACCAAAGUCUUUGGGUUCCGGGGGAAGUAUGGUUGCAAAGCUGAAACUUAAAGGAAUUGACGGAAGGGCACCACCAGGAGUGGAGCCUGCGGCUUAAUUUGACUCAACACGGGAAACCUCACCAGGCCCGGACACUGGAAGGAU